rnacentral:tRNA from 1 species
GGAAGGCUGGCAGAGAGGUUGAUUGCACUUGUUUCGAAAACAAGUAAUUUUAUAAAAAUUCGUGGGUUCAAAUCCCACGCCUUCCACAA